AGGACAGCAAGCAGAGGUAUGUUAUGUUAAGUUGUUGUGUAUAUUUAUGCCUCUCUGUCCAUUUCCUAGGUAAAGAGACCAGGACAGCAAGCGGAGGUAUGUUAUGUAAGGUUGUGUGUAUUUUUGCCCUCUCUGCCCAUUUCCUUUGGUAAAGAACCAGGACAGCAAGCAGAGGUAUGUUAUGUUAAGGUUGGUAUAUUUAUGCCCUCUCUGCCCUUCCUUUCGUAAAGAACAGGACAGCAAGCAGAGGUAUUUAUGUUAAGGUUGUUAUGUAUAUUUAUGCUCUCUGUCCCUUUCCUUUAGGUAAAGAGACCAGGCAGCAGCAGAGGUAUGUUAUGUUAAGUUGUUUUGUAUAUUUAUGCCUCUCUGUCCCAUUUCCUUUGGUAAAGAGACGGACAGCAAGCAGAGGUAUGUUAUGUUAAGGUUGUUUUGUAUAUUUAUGCCCUCUCUGUCCAUUCCUUGGUAAAGAGACCAGGACAAGCAGAGGUAUGUUAUGUUAAGUUUGUUGUGUAUAAUUAUGCCUCUCUGUCCCAUUUCCUUUAGGUAAAGAAGUCCAGGACAUAGAAGGUAUGUUAUGUUAAGUUUGUUGUGUAUAGUUAUGCCUCUCUGUCCCAUUUCCUUUGUAAAGAGCCCAGGACAGCAAGCAGAGGUAUUUUAGUUAAGGUUGUUGUGUAUAUUUAUGCCCUCUCUGUCCCAUUUCCUUUAGGUAAAGAGUCCAGGACAGCAAGCAGAGGUAUGUUAUGUUAAGGUUGUUUUUGUAUAUUUAUGCCCUCUCUGUCCCAUUUCCUUUAGGUAAAGAGACCAGGACAGCAAGCAGAGGUAUGUUUAUGUUAAGGUUGUUGUGUAUAUUUAUGCCCUCUCUGUCCCAUUUCCUUUAGGUAGAGACCAGGACAGCAAGCAGAGGUAUGUUAUGGUAAGGUUGUUUUGUAUAUUUAUGCCCUCUCUGCCCUAUUUCCUUUAGUUAAAGAGACCAGAACAGCAAGCAGAGGUAUGUUAUGUUGAGGUUGUUGUGUACAUUUAUGCCCUCUCUGCCCAUUUCCUUUAGUAAAGAGACCAGGACAGCAAGCAGAGGUAUGUUAUGUUAAGGUUGUUGUGUAUAUUUAUGCCUCUCUGUCCCAUUUCCUUUAGGUAAAGAGACCAGGACAGCAAGCAGAGGUAUGUUAUGUUAAGGUUGUUGUGUAUAUUUAUG
rnacentral:lncRNA from 1 species